rnacentral:rRNA from 1 species
AGCAGUAGCCGCGGUAAUACGUAGGCGGCAAGCGUUGUCCGGAAUUAUUGGGCGUAAAGGGAGCGCAGGUGGGACGGUAAGUCCGUCUUAAAAGGCAGGGGCUCAGCCCCUGUAAGGGAUGGAAACUAUCGAUCUUGAGUGCCGGAGAGGAAAGCGGAAUUCCCAGUGUAGCGGUGAAAUGCGUAGAUAUUGGGAAGAACACCAGUGGCGAAGGCGGCUUUCUGGACGGCAACUGACACUGAGGCUCGAAAGCCAGGGGAGCGAACGGGAUUAGAUACCCGCGUAGUCCCUGUUUCUUAUACA